rnacentral:rRNA from 1 species
CCGCCCGUCACGUCAUGGGAGUGGCCAAUGCGUGAAGUCCGUGCGCUAACCCUUCGGAGAGGCAGCGGCCGAGCGCAGGGGUCGCGACUGGGACG